rnacentral:rRNA from 1 species
UACGUAGGGGGCAAGCGUUGUCCGGAAUCAUUGGGCGUAAAGCGCGCGUAGGCGGCCCGGUAAGUCCGUUGUGAAAGUCAAAGGCUCAACCUUUGAAUGCCGAUGGAUACUGCCGGGCUCGAGUCCGGAAGAGGCGAGUGGAAUUCCUGGUGUAGCGGUGGAAUGCGCAGAUAUCAGGAGGAACACCAAUUGCGAAGGCAGCUCGCUGGAACGUAACUGACGCUGAGACGCGAAAGCGUGGGGAGCAAACAGG